rnacentral:rRNA from 1 species
UACGUAGGGGGCAAGCGUUGUCCGGAUUCAUUGGGCGUAAAGAGCGUAUAGGCGGCCAGGUAGGUCGGUUGUGAAAACUGGAGGCUCAACCUUCAGAGGUCGACCGAAACCAUCUGGCUAGAGUCCGGGAGAGGAGAGUGGAAUUCCGGGUGUAGCGGUGGAAUGCGUAGAGAUCCGGAAGAACACCGGUGGCGAAGGCGGCCCGCUGGGCAGGAAGGCUCGCAAGAGCCGGCUGACGCUGAGGCGCGACAGCGUGGGGAGCAAACAGG